rnacentral:lncRNA from 1 species
UUUGCAUUUGUCAGAAUUAGGCUGGAAGACGGAGCAUCAUUUCUGUGGAAAUGGGUGCUUUACCAAAUAAAACCUUAAAUAAUUAAAUAGAUUAAACCCCAGAGAAGAAAACAAUUCUCACAAGACCCUGGUCAUCUUGGAGCAAAGGACCACUGAUGUAGCGGGGCAUGAACUUUGAGCUGGGCAUGGUGGCACAUGCCUGUAGUCCUAGCAUGGAGGAAAGAGAAGUGGAAGAAGCGUGGGGCCGGCUUCAGCACUAUGAACGAGACUGUACUUCUAAUCAGAGAUGUAAGGAAAGAACUUUGGUUUCAUUAAUUGUCAAAACCAAAGUCCUAAGCAUGAUGGCACUAAGACUUAGAAUCCCAGUACCUGGGAGCCCGAGACACAAGGAUUGUCAUUCGUUUGAGGCCACCUUAGAUUACAGAGUGAGUUCCAGUGAACUGCAGAGUGAGACUAUCUCAACAAAACAAGCCAGAAAAAAACUGUCACUAGCAGGGAGACAGGCUUUGGGAGAGAGCUCUUCUUGUCCCCAUUUUCCUCUGUAUCCUUUACUGUACUGCCCGAAGCUUGCAUUCUGCCACCCUUUCUUCGAAGGUGACAGUUCCCUAGGAUUAAAAUAAAAGCACAGCACCGAGCCACAGGGUGGUGAGAGACACACUCACAGGAGAUUCACCAGAGCACCUGUACUGGCUUCCCAGGACACUCGGUCACAGGACCCAGAGGCUCCUUUGGGAGGAGGACACUUCAUUAUCUUCUUGGCAUGGCCUGACAGUUGUGGUUGUCUUAGCAUACUUGGCUCUGAUGUCUAGAUUUCUGAAUCAAUAAAGAGUUGUAGAUGCCUACUUCAGUAUUCAGGGCCUCCCUGGAAGAGGCUGGAGAUGAAGGUAUAAUAGAAACGAGAUUCUCUUGAACCAUGAAAAAUUAUUGCUAGAAUCACAAGUCAUGAGUAGUUUUGAUUGUUUUAUUUUGUUUUGUUUUAUCUUGCUCAACCUUCAAUCAAACCAUUUUUUUAAGUUCAAUUUAAUCUUUUUUUACUUAUUCACUUUACACCCCACUUCUGGUCACCCUUCACACAGUCUUUCCCCCAUCUCCCCUCCCCUUCUCCUCUGAGUGGGUAGGCCCCCGUUCCAGAUAUCCCCCAAUCCCACUCUUGCACUUUAAGUCUCUUCGAGGCUAGGCGCUUCCUCUCCCAUUGACAGCAAGGCAGCCCAACUAGAAGAACGUAUCCCACCUAUAGGCAACAGCUUUUGGGACAGCCCCCGUUCCAGUUGUUCAGAACCCACAUGAAGACUAAGCUGCACAUCUGCUACAUAUGUGCAGGGAGGCCUAGGUCCAGCCUGAAUCACACCAUUAUUUUUUAAUGCCUAACCAAGCCAGAAUUAGGAGAGAGAAAGGAAGUCCCAAUUUCUGACUAUGCACUGGGUAAGUGUCUUGAAAACAUAACCAAUAUCACCACAUUUAUUGUUCUGUGUUCUCAGGUUGGUCCCCCUCUUAUGAGACAGUGUGACCGGAGAGGUGACUUGUGGGGAGUUUUCACCUUAUGAGAAAGUGGUAUCGGGAAUUGCCUCUAGGGUUUCAUGUGUGCCAGAUAAGUGUCCUGUCACUGGGCUGCAUCCCUAGACCUCGUUCUUCUUUUUAUUUUGAGAACAAGUCUGGCUUAGGAUAGUCUUGAACUUAUUGUAUCUCCCAGGUAAUUAAUAUCAUCUCAACUUCAGAAGCUGGGACCACAGGCCUGUGCCACAAGGGCAAGCUGGUGGCAGGUUACCAGCAAGACUCUAGGUUUGACUGUCUGCCCUAACAGUGCCUCGAAAGCAGAGUUAGAAAGCCCCCAAGCCUUGCUGGGAAUCAAAAUUAUCUCAGGGGUUCAAAACAAGAAAUUAAACCCUUGCUUUCUCCCUCCUGCUUCCUGGCUCCUGGAAAGUAGAGUCUUGCACCCGUGAGUCUGUGGCUCCCUGUAUUCCCAGGUGAUUUUUAGACGUGGUUUGAUCGAAUGUUUGCUUCUUUAGACCCGUGACUAAGUGAUCAUAACUAAACUGUAGCUUCCGUAGUAUGGAGAGCCGUGAGCAAUCGCCAUUACAAGAUGGCGCUGGCUUCCAUAGUGCCUAACUGGUAAACAAGUAAUGUGCGCAGGUGCAAGAGUAAAUUCGUGCCAAGUCACUGCCCAUCCUGGGGUGUAGUAAUGGGGUGAUGGGCAAACAACCAAUCAGAUGCUGACAUGCCACACGGAGGGGUAUAUAAGCAGCACCAUUUUCCGGGUUCGGAGUCAUCCUCCUGUUGAAGCAAUAAAGCUCUGCUGUAGAAGAAUCCGGUUGCCCGAGUGUGUUUUACUGACGAGACAUUAGCUCAGGACACCGUACCAUUCUUCCGUACAGAUCUGAUUUUUAUUUAUUUGCUCUCAUGACCCUGUCAGUCCACUUGGCCAACAGCAUAUGUGUAUCAUGAGGCAAUGUCAAGGGCCCAAGCGCCACACAAUGAUAGCGUUCCAUACCCUGGAAACCAAAACUAGAUUGGGAACAACAGAUGGAGCUGGGUGGAUGGCACCUGCCUGUAAUCCCAACACUGUGAGACAUGGAGGCAGGAGGAUCAGUAGUUCAAGCCGACCCUCAGCUACGUGGCUGACAGUCCUCUGUAUUUACACCUUUAUUUAUUUAUUCAUGUUUUUAACUAUUAUUUAUGUAUGUGUGUGUGUGCAUGUGUGUGAAUGGAUGCCGUGUGUGUGUGUAUGUGUGUGUGUGUGUGUGUGUGUGUAGGCUGGAAGAGGGCAUCAGAUUCUCUGAAGCUGGUGUUACAGAUGGGUGUGAGCUGCCUGACAUGGGUGCUGGGAACCGAAUGCAGGUCCUUUGGAAGAGCAGUAAGCACCUUUUAACUGCCGACCCAUCUCUCCACCUGACUGCACUCAUAAACGACCUCAGUAAAGCACAGCCUCCUUAGCAUGCGUUUUGCGAGUCCAGCUUUGACUUUGGACCAGUUUCAAGAUGCAUUCGCCACCCUUUCACAGCAAAGACGCCAUAUUUAUGUAUGCUAUUGCUGGCCCUAAACUACGGAUUUCCCCUUUUUGCCACUUACUGUCUACCCUGGCAUGUUUAAAGUGAAAGCUUGCUUAAAGAUGUGUGAAAAAAAAAACCCAAAACC